GUGAUGUUGCUGAUGGGCAUCUUGCUGUCAUAAUAAGAACCACAAGGGUCAGUCUGGUGGUAACGUUGGUUUGGAAAGUUGUCUGUGGGAAGCUCACUGGAGCCCAGGUUCCUCCUCGCUUCCUUAAGAUGAGUAGUCCUAAUUUGGCUAAUUGAUGUAGUCCACAAUGAGCACCAAAUACUGACCAGGAGCCUCAGGUGAUAUUGCUUUUGCAGACCCCAGUUUCUCCGUCUCAGCUGCCGUGUUGUGAGAUAAGAGAAGUACGAAAGCGUUUGGAGAGGAGCUGAAGCUGAGACAUGUAGCCACACACCACGGUUUCUUGUCCCAGUUCCAUUAGCACCGAACAGUCAAGUGCUCCAGUACCGUGAGUGUACUUCGGUAGCUUGUAAUUGCCCUGUGCUUCAGUCAAGAGAUGGGUAAUUGCUCCUAUGGGCCAUGGAUUUCCUGCUAGCAGCAGCUGAUUGAAACCAGCCAUUUAUUGUGGUUAAAAACCCCAGACUCACUGCAGUGUUUACAGAUAAACCUUCUGUGCGACAGUCAUUUACUCUACCCAGCCAUCCAUAUAUUAAAGAUAUUACACACUACCCCCUCCUUUUCUCUUGAAGACAGAUCAACUGUUCUUUUCAGUUUGAUUAAAUUUCAGUAUGUAGUGUUGACAUGCCAACUCUUUUAUUUUGUGGCUUAUGCUUUAAAUAAAUUUGCAUUUCUUUGGACCCAAGUUCUAUUUUGGGGGCGUUUGUUAAUAGCCACAGUACUGUAGUUUUAGAUACUUCUGCAAAGUUGCUUUUCAUCUUUUUCGUUCCUCCCAUGAGCCAAACACAGAUCUUCGCCUGUGUGUCUCUUGGUGUCCUCAUGAGUCGGGAUGUAGUAAAGGUAGGCUGUUCACUCUUAGUAAUCCUGAAUUUUUAAGUUUGCAGGAAGCUGACAGAGGAUGGUGUGUUUUCUAAUUUUAAUGACACCUGCAUCUGUGAUGGACACAAUGGAUGCUGCUACAUGACAUCACAAGGGCUCAUAUUCACAACCUUCAGAUCAAGAUUCUCCACUCCACACUUCCAGCUGAGCCAGCCAGGCACCCCUCAAUGUUAUUUUCUUAAAGAUGAGGAAGCAGAGGCUCCCAGAGGUUAAAUAACUUGGCCCGUGUCAAACAGUUUGUAGGAGGAGCCAUCGGGAUUCCAGUUCAGGCACUGCUGGGCAAGAGAAUACAAGAGAAUACAGGAUUAAUGAGAUGUGGCUCCUGUUCUUGGGAAGCUUUCAGUUUGGGAACAGAUAUGCAAAAAACCAUGCUUUUGAUCCAGUAUGAGAGCCACAUUAGAGGCAUUUUAUCAUCUCAUCUCAUCACAAGAAGAGGAAGGGCACUGCACCUAUCAGAGGAAUUGCACCAUCUGAAGAUUUAAAGCCAAGAUAGAGACAGCCAGCGAGAGAGGGAACACAAGCAGGAG